rnacentral:rRNA from 1 species
UACGGAGGGUGCAAGCGUUAUCCGGAUUCACUGGGUUUAAAGGGUGUGUAGGCGGGCUGUUAAGUCAGUGGUGAAAUCUCCGGGCUCAACCCGGAAACUGCCAUUGAUACUAUCAGUCUUGAAUUCUGUUGAGGUGGGCGGAAUAUGUCAUGUAGCGGUGAAAUGCAUAGAUAUGACAUAGAACACCAAUUGCGAAGGCAGCUCACUAAACAGCGAUUGACGCUGAGGCACGAAAGCGUGGGGAUCAAACAGG